GAACUUUUACACCACGCCUUCCUCGCCGCCUUCUGCAGGAGUAUGGGAGGCACCACCGGGGCAGGGGCAACUGAGGGAGGCGCCCCCACCACAGCGGAAGCGCAAGACUCGUCCCAUACCCUCCACCCUCCCUGAUGACGGUGCCCUGGCCCCGAACGCCCCCCGCCCGCCGCGCACCCGAAAGGAAAAGCCCCGAAGUCGCAUGUCGUUCCGCCGCUUCGUCGACACCACCAUGGCGGGGAUCGCUAACCUUCAUGCCCAGGCUGCGGCGCCGCUCCUCCCACCGCCACCGCUUCGUGAGGGACGCUGAGCUCCACUAAGGACAAGGAGGCUUCGCUAAGGGCGCCGCUAACCCAGACACACCCACACCACCGCCCACACCGUCCACCACAACAGCAGGGGAAGGCACACAGACAUCUGACUAACACCCCAACGCCCCUCGCUACUAAUAUUAACAGGAGGCAGCCCACACUCCGUCAGCGCCCACACCCACACCCUCCCAGGAAGACCGCGGUGGUAAGGGACAAGAGUAAGCCAAACACCCCGCCCCUCCUGCGUCCCGGGCCCUCCCUACUCCUCCCGCCCCGUCAGUUCCUUUAGCCGCAGCGAGAGGUUGGGACACCAGGGUUGAGAUUAGGUAGGUUUUGUUGUUAUUGUUGUUUUUGUUUUGUUUGUUGACUCAUGAUUGUAAUGCUCUCUCUCUCUCUCUCUCUCUCUCUCUCUCUCUCUCUCUCUCUCUCUCUCUCUCUCUCUCUCUCAUGUUGUAUUUAUUUGUCUUAUUUAAAAUUUCUUUGUUUCUUUGUUUUAUUUUAUUUCAGUUUUAUUCAGUUUUUCUGUUUUUUUCUGUUUUUUCUCACUUUCUUUCGUUUUUAUCAUUUUUUUUCUUAUUCAUUCCAUUUACUUUGUAAAUAUAUCUUUAUUUUCUUUAUUUAUUUUGUUUUUGGUUGUUUUCGUUUCAUUGUGAGUCGAAAAACAAAAGACAUGCUUCACUAAAAAAAUCUAACCUUAUUGUAAAUAAUUUGGGUAUGGAAACUGUACAAAGGCAUGUUAUUAUUAUUAUUAUUAUUAUUAUUAUUAUUAUUAUUAUUAUUAUUAUUAUUAUUAUUAUUAUUAUUAUUAUUGCUUGUUACCACGGGGCUUGUGGGUAAUCAUAAGUUUCGUCCCCCACACAACAACAUGCUCUCCCCGGAUGUCUUUUUAUAUUGUUGAAUUCCACAAAAGUUAUAACAAAGAGGAACAGAUCGCUUAUAAUGGAAUUGGAGCUUACUUGGAGUGUUGACUUUAGGGAAUUUAUAGUCUAAGUGUUGUGUUUUAUACAGAAAUGUUUGAAAUUAUGGUGUUCAAUAUUAUUUUCGUAAACGGAAAGACAUAUAUUAUUUAUACUGUUUUUUAAGGAAAGGAAAUUAGUAAAUAUUGAGAUUAAAGCAAA